rnacentral:rRNA from 1 species
AUGAACCGACCGGCAGAGGGAGGAAGGGAGGUACCUGCGGUGGUGGCGGCGGCGCCCGGCGACCAUCUGGUUCUGAUUCGGCCGCGUCCGGCUCCUAUUCAAUGUCAGGUAGAUCUGAUUCGAUCGCGUCCGACACGGAAUCCGGACAGAGGGAGCAGCAGAUCGAAAAAAACCAGGAUGUCUAAGCGGCUCCAGGGAGAGGAGAUACAGGCAAACUGCGCCCGCAAAAGGUCACGACCUUCUGAUCAGAAGCACCUCUAUCUGGUGCUGGAUGACUGGAAAGAUGGGUUCAGCAUUCACAAGAUUGACGCCGACGACGAUGACGCGGACCUUGGCCAGCCACCGGUCCUCCGGUUGGUGUNGCCGGCGCCUGGCUUUCCAAUGCGCUUUGCGGUCGUGGGCAGCAACAUCGUCAUCGUCACCAACCCACGCUGUGGUCAGGCUCCCACACUUUUCUAUGAUACGAAAAGAACAGGACUCGCCGUCGGCCCUCCGCUCCCCGGUCCACUGGUGGGUGACUUCCACACCUCCGUGGCCACUGCGGAUAUGCUGUAUGCGCUGAGUUUUCAUCAUAGGAAUCAGCAGCACUCCUUUGAGGUGAUGUCUUGGGAAGAAUCUCCAAAUCCUUGUACCAUGAGCUGCUCAUGGACAAGUGUGCCCUCACCACCCCCGUUCGAGGAGGAUGAAUGGAUCACCUCCUACGCCGUGCACCCUGAUGGACACACCAUCUUCAUGUCUGGGGUCAACAAGUACAAUCUCAAACGUCGGACCUUCUCUUUUGACACCAAGUACUGUGAGUGGAGGUUUCAUGGGGAAUGGGCCUUGCCUUUCCAAGGCCAGGGCUACUAUGACAACACGCUGGACGGAUGGGUUGGCCUUCACGAGGAUGGCUACAUCUGCGCCUGCCAAGUCGCCCCCCGCAGCCGCGCAAGUACCAUACAGCCCGAGUGGAAGGUUGUCAAGGGGAAGUUGUUCCACAAGGUCCCGGAGAGGAAACGAGCGGCCUCAUAUGCCACUCUAACAUACAUGGGCAAUGCCAGAUUUUGCCUUGUGGAGUGUGUGGUGCGUGAGGAAGUGGAGUAUGAGGAUGCCUUAGGUGAUUGUGAUGGUUGCAUGCUCCUUAUGACCAAGUUUGGCCUCAAGUACUCUCAUAAUGGAGAGUUGCAGACCAUCAAUCGCACCACCAACUCCUAUGUGUUGUCGAAGCAUAUCACCGGGUUUUCUCCUGUAGCGUUCUGGAUGUAG